rnacentral:rRNA from 1 species
UACGUAGGGUGCAAGCGUUAAUCGGAAUUACUGGGCGUAAAGCGUGCGCAGGCGGUUACGUAAGACAGGUGUGAAAUCCCCGGGCUUAACCUGGGAACUGCAUUUGUGACUGCAUAGCUAGAGUACGGCAGAGGGGGAUGGAAUUCCGCGUGUAGCAGUGAAAUGCGUAGAUAUGCGGAGGAACACCGAUGGCGAAGGCAAUCCCCUGGGCCUGUACUGACGCUCAUGCACGAAAGCGUGGGGAGCAAACAGG